GAGAUCUUAAGUUAAACACUAAACUGUUACUGUUCAAAAGUAAAUAUACAAUAAUGUAGAUCUUA
rnacentral:tRNA from 1 species